UACAAGGUCAACCUGUUUUCUUAUUUGUUUACAUAAUAUAUGAUAACACAUGCUUGGAUUUUUCUUAUUUUUUUUAUUGAAGAUACAUAUCCUCAAUCUUCAUCAUCAAAGUGUUUCGUGCUGGCACUUUCAUAUAUUUUAAAAGCAGAACGUGGCUAUAAGCAAAACUCGUUGAAGCGGAAUAAUGAUGGAAGAUUGAUGUUUUUCAACGAUGGAAGAUUGAAGUAGAAACAGAACGAUGGAAGAUUAUGAAUGCAGAGGUUUUUGAGCAAGAAAUAGAGAAUGAUACCACCUCUGGUGCUUGUGACGGUUCGUUGUGCCCGUGACGGUCCGUAGGUGGCAUCGUAGUGCAGCUGCUGAAGGAAGAUGGGAAAUUCUCACCAAGUGUGGGGUUACGGAGAGCAUGACAGACCGUCAUAGCCAUGACGGUUCAUCAUGCUUGUUCGUGAUGAAGUUCAAAGAAGUAGUCCUAGUACCCAAAUUCCAAGAGUUUAAGUAUUUUUGAACGUAGACCCUCGACGGACCGUUGUGCCUGUGACGAUCCUUCAUACCUGCCGUCGGGGGUAAUUAAGAGAGUAGCAAAAGAAAUUGCACAAGUAUGGGACGACGGAAUCCAUGAUGGGCCCGUCGUGAGUACGACGAUCCGUCCCGAUGUCCGUCGACCCAGCUGCGUUUUGACAAAUUUCCAUCAAAUAGAGUCCUUAUUUAAUUAGGUUUUUAUUUUUUAUAAAUAGUUCAAAAAACAUCAUUUUUGGGGUUAGACUCUUCGUUAGACUCUUGAUAAUUUUUAGACUCUUGGUUAUUUGAGCUUCUUUUGUGGAUUAGACUUGGUAAUUAUUGUUAAACUUUUUGAGAAUCUUUA